rnacentral:rRNA from 1 species
UUAGAGUUUGAUCAUGGCUCAGAACGUACGCUGGCGGCACGCCUAAUACAUGCAAGUCGAACGAAGUAGCAAUACUUAGUGGCAGACGGGUGAGUAACAUGUAGGUAUCUUCCCAUUGGUGAGGAAUAACACGAGGAAACUUGUGCUAAUACCUCAUAAGUCUUUACGGAGAAAGCUUUAUGCGCCGAUGGAUGAGCCUGCACUUGAUUAGUUUGUUGGUAGGGUAAUGGCCUACCAAGACAAUGAUCAAUAGCUGAUUUGAGAGGAUGAUCAGCCACAUUGGGACUGAGACACGGCCCAAACUCCUACGGGAGGCAGCAGUAGGGAAUCUUGCACAAUGGGGGAAACCCUGAUGCAGCGAUGCCGCGUGAGUGAAGAAGGCCUUUGGGUUGUAAAGCUCUUUCGUCGGGGAAGAAAAUGACUGUACCCGAAUAAGAAGGUCCGGCUAACUUCGUGCCAGCAGCCGCGGUAAUACGAAGGGACCUAGCGUAGUUCGGAAUUACUGGGCUUAAAGAGUUCGUAGGCGGUUAAAAAAGUUGGUGGUGAAAUCCCAGAGCUUAACUCUGGAACUGCCAUCAAAACUUUUUAGCUAGAGUAUGAUAGAGGAAAGCAGAAUUCCUAGUGUAGAGGUGAAAUUCGUAGAUAUUAGAAAGAAUACCAAUUGCGAAGGCAGCUUUCUGGAUCAUUACUGACGCUGAGGAACGAAAGCAUGGGUAGCGAAGAGGAUUAGAUACCCUCGUAGUCCAUGCCGUAAACGAUGUGUGUUAGACGUUGGAAAUUUAUUUUCUGUGUCGCAGCGAAAGCAAUAAACACACCGCCUGGG